AUGUCUCUUUGAAAGAAUAAUAUGAAGAGUCUGGCCUGCCCGGUGACACGGUUUAACGGCUGCAGUAUCCUGACUGUGCAAAGGUAGCAUAAUAACUUGCCUUUUAAUUGGAGGAUGGCAUCAAUGGCUUGACGAGAGCAAAACUGUCUUUUUUAUUUUUACUAGAAUUUAUCCUUUAAGUUAAAAGACUUAAAUAUAGCUAAAAGACGAUAAGACCCUAUUGAGCUUUAAAGAAAUAAAGUAGUUAUUUAUAUUCGUAAGAUUGAUAAUAAAUUUAAAAAAUUUUAGUUGGGGCGACUGCGGAGUAUUUGAAACCUCCGAAUUGUAGAAUUAAUUUCUAUUUAUGAUCCAUGCUUUGUGAUAAAUGGAAUUAGUUACCAUAGGGAUAACAGCGCACUACUUUUGGGGAGAUCGUAUUCCUAAAAGAGAUCGCGACCUCGAUGUUGGAUUAAGGUAUACUGAAAGGCGCAGAAGCUUUUUAAGUUAGUCUGUUCGACUAUUAAAUCCUU
rnacentral:rRNA from 1 species